rnacentral:rRNA from 1 species
GAUCCUGGCUCAGGACGAACGCUGGCGGCGUGCUUAAUACAUGCAAGUCGAACGGAGUUAAGGGUUUCGGCCUUUAACUUAGUGGCGAACGGGUGAGUAACGCGUGAAUAACCUGACUCAAANAGGGGGAUAACAACGGGAAACUGUUGCUAAUACCGCAUGAGACCACAACACCGCAUGAUGAAGGUGGUACAAAGUAUUUAUCGUCUUUGAGGUAGGGGUUCGCCGUCCCAUUAGGUAGUUGGGAGGGGUAACCGGCCCACA